rnacentral:rRNA from 1 species
CGGCGUGCUUAACACAUGCAAGUCGAACGAACCUUCGGGUUAGUGGCGGACGGGUGAGUAACGCGUGGGAAUCUGCCCUCAGGAGGGGGAUAACGGUUGGAAACGGCCGCUAAUACCCCAUAUGCCGAGAGGUGAAAUGAAUUUCGCCUGAGGAUGAGUCCGCGUCUGAUUAGCUAGUUGGUGAGGUAAGAGCUCACCAAGGCAUCGAUCAGUAGCUGGUCUGAGAGGAUGAUCAGCCACACUGGGACUGAGACACGGCCCAGACUCCUACGGGAGGCAGCAGUGGGGAAUUUUCCGCAAUGGGCGAAAGCCUGACGGAGCAACGCCGCGUGAGGGAUGAAGGCCUCUGGGCUGUAAACCUCUUUUAUCAAGGAAGAAGAUCUGACGGUACUUGAUGAAUAAGCCACGGCUAAU